CGAACCCCCAACGCCGGCUCCGGGCUCGCUAAACUUUCCAAGAGCGUCUCCCCGGUGUCCCCCAGCCGAUAGCCCCAGGAUUACGCUUUCCCACUGGCCCGGCACCCACUGACAGGCGGGCAGCGGCGGCGAGCGGGGCGGGGGCGCCUGGGCGCCGCGGAGGGGCGGGGCGGCCGGAGCCAAGUUCCCGGGGGUCCGAGCGCAGCGCCUGACAGGAGCCCGGGACCGCGAAAGAGGAAGAGGAAGCGGCGGCGGGGCAGUUUUCCCAAUCCCCCCCUUCCAAGCGCACCCUACCCCCCCAGCCCCCGGCUGCCCGUAGGGGGGGCGGGGAGGCGGACUGCAAGAUGCUUAUGAUGAAACAGUGAGGUCGUCAAAGAAAACAUUAUCAUUCCCACGGUAUCUUUUCCGAAAUAAAAGCUUAGAAGAGAAAAGGGGUUCGCUCAAAGCAGGGUGACCAAAGACAAAUUCUGCUGACUUCCAUUCGUCACCUCGCUCGGUAUGGGUAUUUUGCCUGCCUUCUUGUUUGUGUACUACAUGAGUGCCAUACCCUUGGAGAUCAGAAAAGGACAUCAGAUCCAAUAGGACUGAAGUCAUAAAUGGUUGCAAGUCACCAUGUGGGUGCUAGGGAUUGCACCUAGGUCUUCUGGAGGAGCCCAGUGUUCUUGGCUGCUGAGCUAUCACUGCAGCCCCUAAACUAAUUCAGCACACAAAGUAAUGACUUUCAUUAUGGCAUUUUCAUAUGCUUGUGUUAUUAUACCUUCUUCUAAUUCAUCCCUUCUUCCACUGAGCUCCUCCAUCCUCCCUGUACCCCUCUUAACGGUCACCUUCCUCUCUCUAAAUAGUCCCCGUUUCUGUUCUCAUGCCACUUGUAUUCUAUUAUUCUCUUUUUUCCUUCCUUCCACUUCCCUUAAGAUCUCUUCUCAAGAUCCCCUUUCCAGUUUUAUCUCUCUCUCCCUGUCUGUCUCCCCCGCCACACACGCACAAAUCAGGCUCUACAGAUGAGUGAAAACAUGCAGUAUUCAUCUUCCUCAUUCUGGCUUUUCUUAACAUAACAAUUUCCAGUUCCAUCCAUCUCCCACAAAUAUCGUUUUUCUUCAUGCCAAAUAAAACUGCAUUGUGUGCAAUG